CAAUACAUACCAUGCAUGUAUUUCUACCUAUCACCUAUGUAACCUUUGUCAUGCUCUUCAGAGAGUCAUCGACAGGAAAAGGAAUUACCGGUAAGUUGACAGGACUUUCCACACUGUUUCUGGUAGCAGCUUAUGAUUGAAUUGAUGGUAGAAGACAUGGCCCACUUAAUCAAAGAUAAUCCGUAUAGAGUGGCACCUUAACCAUCACUGGUGAAAUAGAAGAUGACUAGUGGAUGGUCAUCACUUUGCAGCUCACUUUCACUUUCUGCAGCCCAUCUCUUCUCAUCCACAAUCAUUGUCUUUGGAGGAAU